AUUGAACGCUGGCGGCAGGCCUAACACAUGCAAGUCGAACGAGUGGCGGACUGGUGAGUAAUGUCUGGGAAACUGCCUGACGGAGGGGGAUAACUACUGGAAACGGUGGCUAAUACCGCAUACCAUCGGAUGUGCCCAGAUGGGAUUGGCUAGUAGUUGGGGUAACGGCUCACCUAGGCGACGAUCUCUAGCUGGUCUGAGAGGAUGACCAGCCACACUGGAACUGAGACACGGUCCAGACUCCUACGGGGGGCAGCAGAGGGGAAUAUUGCACAAGGGGCGCAAGCCUGAUGCAGCCAUGCCGGGUGUAUGAAGAAGGCCUUCGGGUUGUAAAGUACUUUCAGCGGGGAGGCGUUACCCGCAGAAGAAGCACCGGCUAACUCCGUGCCAGCAGCCGCGGUAAUUC
rnacentral:rRNA from 1 species